CGCCAUCUUCUCGCGCCUAACGUUUUGUAUGGCUUUGUUCUCUGCAAUCCGGGCACGCAGCUCAUCGGUGGAUGCACGUCUGCUCGGCGUCGCAAUGCGGCCUGCGUCAUUUUUUGGUGUUCGCGCAAUCGGUGUGAAGCAUGUCGCAUGUGAAAUGUUUGAUAGAAGUGCCUCACGUCCAAGUCAAGCCGCCGUACGGGUGUAUGGCUGUGCGCCCCGUUCUCGGAAGCGUCGACGGGUUUCCGGCAUGCGGAUUUCAGCGUUUGGACUCGACUUUUGGUGAGGCUGUCGAUCGACCUUGGGCCUGGUGACAGCACACCCGACAUCGCCAAAGUGCAGCCUAUCAGUUGAGUGCCCCCGAAUGGACCAUCAACAUCGGAAACUGAAGCAGAGCCAGGGGAAAAGGUUCCGGUAACACCAUGCAUUCAGUAUGGUGGCCCAGACGUGUAUGCAAGCAACCUCCUUCAUGUGGACCAAGAACUACUCUGCAGUGUCUCACAGACUUCCAUGCGAAGCCCUCAACAUUCUCGUCUCAGUGGAAUGGCUGCUCAUCUAUCUGCGUGUCCAUCACCAAGACGGCCAGUUGUAAAGCUCCUGUACCCGUUUAAGAAAGCUUAAUGUUUUUUUUAUUUAGUUUUCAUGGUUGGCCGUAGAAUCUUAACAUUUUUGAUGUUUCUAACGUUUUUACCUGGCACAAAGUGGCGCAAUAACUUUAAACCAGUGUAAUGUAUUUAAGUGAUGCUCACUCUAAUGCCUAUCUGGUUUUAUUUGUGUUUAAGAAACUUGAAUGUCUGAUGAGGUAACAGCAUUUAAAUUUGUCAUCGUGGCUUGUUUCAAUGAGCUGCUAGGAAAUAAGAUGCAAAACUUAUCACACGCCAGUUGUAGCAUUUUUGUAUUCAUGACUAAAGUGUACACGUUUCAAAAGGUGGAAAGUGGGGAAAAAAAGCCUCAAGAACAUAAUGAUCCUAGGAUUGUCAUGUCCUUACAACUCUGCAAUGACUAAUGCCUCAUGCAUCUUGGGAGCACAAUGGUCGCAAUGCCUACAGGUAUACUUGAUAAGAGACUAGCUUGCAAAAAUUUAGUUGAGGGUUAGCGCUCAUCCUGUCUGCUUCUAGUCUGUGUCCAUGCCACUUCGCGCUACAAUCCAAGAUCAUGUUACUGUACCAACUCGCCCAACUUUUUAUCCUUGUGUUAAAGACACACUCAGACUUGUUCUUACUUAUGUGACCGGUUAUUUUUGUGCUUCAUAAUAAGAUGCAGUGCUUUUCGAAUGAAAACAUGUGAUAUUUCGUAGUGAGGUUAUUUAAAAAAACUGUUCUGCUUAAAAUUUAAUUGAGCAAGCCUGUGCCAUUAUUCGGUGCUUAUGUCUUUGUAUUGGUAUGGUUUUACUCAUCUUCCUUUUUACUUUUAAAAUGUGCAAACAUUAUUAUGUAACCAUUUCUCUUGAAUGAAAUAAAUACUUCUGACAUUUCGUCACAAAUUUUACAA